rnacentral:rRNA from 1 species
UACGAAGGGGGCUAGCGUUGCUCGGAAUUACUGGGCGUAAAGCGCACGUAGGCGGCUCUUUAAGUCGGGGGUGAAAUCCUGGAGCUCAACUCCAGAACUGCCUUCGAUACUGGAGAGCUCGAGUCCGGGAGAGGUGAGUGGAACUGCGAGUGUAGAGGUGAAAUUCGUAGAUAUUCGCAAGAACACCAGUGGCGAAGGCGGCUCACUGGCCCGGUACUGACGCUGAGGAGCGAAAGCGUGGGGAGCAAACAGG